rnacentral:lncRNA from 1 species
AGACGUGUGUAAGCUCCCAUACUCCCUUGACUCUGCCAUGGUGCCCAAGGGUCACUCUAGAUGGUGAAGGCUGCAGAUGGGGAAGCCUAAAUCUCAGGCCAUGUGGUGAAGAAACGAAUCAAGGGAGUGGGUGCUACACCCAGAGAAAAACCAAAUGGAUUGGGGGCGUCUCAGGAUAGCAGCUCAGACAAAGGUGUGGUAUCCAGAGUAGCCCAGAUAGAGGCCGGACAGAGCAGCCCAGGGAAAAGAGCCUUCCUGUGUGACGCUCUCGCUGAAGCUGGACAUCUCGAGGGCCUUGAGAGCAAAGCAAAUCACAUGACAAGGCAGUCACAUGACUAGGAAAACAGAGGGAAACAUAAGGAUGAGACAACAAAGAAAUUUAGAAAUGAGGAUUACACCUCCCAAGGAAGGGUGGCGUGGCAAUUGGAACAUGGAGCUGAAGAGAUGAAGCCCUCACCACAUUUUCAGAGCAUUUCAAGGCCACAAGGCCCCCCGCCCAGCAUGCACAGCAGAGCACAGAAACACAUUAGGCACAGACCCAGCCAGCAAGCAGGAGGCUCCUGGGUUCUUCCCCAAGUGGGCUAGU